UCUUGGUGGCUCAGAGGUUAAAGCAUCUGCCUGCAAUGCGGGAGACCUGGGUUCGAUCCCUGGGUCGAGAA
rnacentral:tRNA from 1 species